rnacentral:rRNA from 1 species
AACGAACGCUGGCGGCAUGCCUAACACAUGCAAGUCGAACGAGACCUUCGGGUCUAGUGGCGCACGGGUGCGUAACGCGUGGGAACCUGCCCUUAGGUUCGGAAUAACUCCCCGAAAGGGGUGCUAAUACCGGCUAAUGUCUUCGGACCAAAGAUUUAUCACCUUUGGAUGGGCCCGCGUUGGAUUAGCCGGUUGGUAGGGUAAAAGCCUACCAAGGCGACGAUCCAUAGCUGGUCUGAGAGGAAGAGCAGCCACACUGGGGCUGGGAAACGGCCCAGACUCCUACGGGAGGCAGGAGUGGGGGAUAUUGGAAAAUGGGCGGAAGCCUGAACCAGCAAUGCCGGGUGAGUGAUGAAGGCCUUAGCGUUGUAAAGCUCGUUUAUCCGUGAUGAUAAUGACAGUACCGGGAGAAUAAGCACCGGCUAACUCCGUG